rnacentral:rRNA from 1 species
AUUGAACGCUGGCGGCAGGCCUAACACAUGCAAGUAGAACGAGUGGCGGACGGGUGAGUAAUGUCUGGGAAACUGCCCGAUGGAGGGGGAUAACUACUGGAAACGGUAGCUAAUAACGCAUACCAUCGGAUGUGCCCAGAUGGGAUUAGCUAGUAGGUGGGGUAACGGCUCACCAAGGAAACGAUCCCUAGCUGGUCUGAGAGGAUGAACAGCCAAACUGGAACUGAGACACGGUCCAGAGUCCUACGGGAGGCAGCGGUGGGGAAUAUUGCACAAUGGGCGCAAGCCUGAUGCAGAAAUGCCGCGGGUAUGAAGAAGGCCUUCGGGGUGUAAAGUACUUUCAGCGAGGAGGCGUUACUCGCAGAAGAAGCACCGGCUAACUCCGUGCCAGCAGCCGCGGUAAUUC